ACUGAACGCUGGCGGUAGGCCUAACACAUGCAAGUCGAACGGCAGCACAGUAAGAGCUUGCUCUUACGGGUGGCGAGUGGCGGACGGGUGAGGAAUACAUCGGAAUCUACUUUUUCGUGGGGGAUAACGUAGGGAAACUUACGCUAAUACCGCAUACGACCUACGGGUGAAAGCAGGGGAUCUUCGGACCUUGCGCGAUUGAAUGAGCCGAUGUCGGAUUAGCUGGUUGGCGGGGUAAAGGCCCACCAAGGCGACGAUCCGUAGCUGGUCUGAGAGGAUGAUCAGCGACACUGGAACUGAGACACGGUCCAGACUCCUACGGGAGGCAGCAGUGGGGAAUAUUGGACAAUGGGCGCAAGCCUGAUCCAGCCAUACCGCGUGGGUGAAGAAGGCCUUCGGGUUGUAAAGCCCUUUUGUUGGGAAAGAAAAGCAGCAGGUUAAUACCCCGCUGUUCUGACGGUACCCAAAGAAUAAGCACCGGCUAACUUCGUG
rnacentral:rRNA from 1 species